rnacentral:rRNA from 1 species
UACGAAGGGUGCAAGCGUUACUCGGAAUUACUGGGCGUAAAGCGUGCGUAGGUGGUUCGUUAAGUCUGAUGUGAAAGCCCUGGGCUCAACCUGGGAAUUGCAUUGGAUACUGGCAGGCUUGAAUCCGGGAGAGGGAUGCGGAAUUCCAGGUGUAGCGGUGAAAUGCGUAGAUAUCUGGAGGAACACCGGUGGCGAAGGCGGCAUCCUGGACCGGUAUUGACGCUGAGGCGCGAAAGCCAGGGGAGCAAACGGG